UCUGGAGACAGGUGCUGCAUGGCUGUCGUCAGCUCCGUGUCGUGAGAUGUUGGGUUAAGUCCCGCAACGAGCGCAACCCUUGCCUUUAGUUGCCAGCAGUUCGGGCUGGGCACUCUAAAGGGACUGCCGGUGUUAAACCGGAGGAAGGUGGGGAUGACGUCAAGUCCUCAUGGCCUUUAUGACCAGGGCUACACACGUACUACAAUGGCCGAUACAAAGGGCAGCGACACUGCGAGGUGAAGCCAAUCCCGUAAAAUCGGUCUCAGUCCGGAUUGGAGUCUGCAACUCGACUCCAUGAAGUUGGAAUCGCUAGUAAUCGUGAAUCAGCAUGCCACGGCGAAUACGUUCCCGGGCCUU
rnacentral:rRNA from 1 species